rnacentral:rRNA from 1 species
UACGUAGGGUGUGAGCGUUGUCCGGAAUUAUUGGGCGUAAAGAGCUCGUAGGCGGUCUGUCGCGUCUGCUGUGAAAACUCAGGGCUUAACCCUGAGCUUGCAGUGGGUACGGGCAGACUAGAGCUGCGGUAGGGGAGACUGAAUUCCUGGUGUAGCGGUGAAAUGCGCAGAUAUCAGGAGGAACACCGGUGGCGAAGGCGGGUCUCUGGGCCGAUACUGACGCUGAGGAGCGAAAGCGUGGGGAGCGAACAGG